rnacentral:rRNA from 1 species
GUAGGGGGCAAGCGUUGUCCGGAUUUAUUGGGCGUAAAGAGCGUGUAGGCGGCUAGGUAGGUCCGUUGUGAAAACUCGAGGCUCAACCUCGAGACGCCGAUGGAAACCAUCUGGCUAGAGUCCGGAAGAGGAGAGUGGAAUUCCUGGUGUAGCGGUGAAAUGCGCAGAUAUCAGGAAGAACACCCAUGGCGAAGGCAGCUCUCUGGGACGGUACUGACGCUGAGACGCGAAAGCGUGGGGAGCGAACAGGAUUAGAUACCCUGGUAGUCCACGCCGUAAACGAUGGGUGCUAGGUGUGGGGGGUGUCGACUCCCUCCGUGCCGAAGCUAACGCAUUAAGCACCCCGCCUGGGGAGUACGGCCGCAUGGCUA